rnacentral:rRNA from 1 species
AAACAUAACCUUUAGCUAAACAAAUAUUAAAGGCAACGCCUGCCCAGUGAACAAUUAAACGGCCGCGGUACCCUAACCGUGCAAAGGUAGCAUAAUCAUUUGUCUACUAAUUAUAGACCUGUAUGAAAGGCAAAAUGAGGGCCUAACUGUCUCUUAUAGCGAAUCAAUUAAACUGAUCUCCUAGUAAAAAAGCUAGAAUUUCUCCAUAAGACCAGAAGACCCUGUGAAGCUUAAACUAAACUAUUAAAUCACAUAAUAACUACUUUCGGUUGGGGCGACCUUGGAAAAAAAAAGAACUUCCAACAACCAUGACUAUUCAUCAACCACCCUAGGCCUACAAGCCAACUAACGACCCAGCACAGCUGAUCAAUGAACCAAGUUACUCCAGGGAUAACAGCGCAAUCCUCUUCAAGAGCCCAUAUCAAAAAGAGGGUUUACGACCUCGAUGUUGGAUCAGGACAUCCUAAUGGUGCAGCCGCUAUUAAGGGUUCGUUUGUUCAACGAUUAAUAGUCCCACGUGAUCU